AUGACCCACAACCACCCUACAGGUUUCCUGGGCUCUCUGACCACGGCUCUGUUUGCAUCGUACGCGGUGCAGGGCAAACCGCUGGUGACCUGGGGUCGCGACCUCAUGAAGGUCAUCCCCAAGGCCGAGGAGUACUGUAAGAAGACCAUACGCCACAUGGCAGAGUACCAGGAGAAGUGGUUCUACUUCGAGGCUAAGUGGCAGUUCUACCUGGAGGAGAGAGGCGUGGAGGAGGAGGGGCAGAACAAGCCCCUGUUUCCUGACACCUACAACGCUGAGGAGACAGA